GUGUCUGGAAGAGUUGUGGGAUCUAUUGGUGGAGAGAGCUGUUCAAAUAAAAAUGGGGGUCCAUCAAAUGUAAAUGUUGAGCUUUUAUCUCCCACGGGUGAUCUUGUCACAUCUGUUUUAACAUCACCAACAAGAAGUUACUCGUUCACUAACAUUAUCCCAGGAAAAUACAAACUACGUGCUUCACGUCCUGAUUUUAAUGUUGAAGUUAGAGGUUCUGCAGAGGUUGAAUUGGGGUUUGAGAAUGGUUUGGUUGAUGACAUUUCCUUUGUCCCUGGCUAUGAUAUUCAU